rnacentral:rRNA from 2 species
UAGGGUGGUUAUAGCGGUGGGGCUCACCUGUUCCCAUUCCGAACACAGAAGUUAAGCCCACCAGCGCCGAUGGUACUGCUAACGCGGGAGAGUAGGUCGCCGCCAGU